GAUGAACGCUGGCGGCGUGCCUAAUACAUGCAAGUCGAGCGAACAGACGAGGAGCUUGCUCCUCUGACGUUAGCGGCGGACGGGUGAGUAACACGUGGAUAACCUACCUAUAAGACUGGGAUAGCUUCGGGAAACCGGAGCUAAUACCGGAUAACAUGUUGAACCGCAUGGUUCAACAGUGAAAGACGGUCUUGCUGUCACUUAUAGAUGGAUCCGCGCCGCAUUAGCUAGUUGGUAAGGUAACGGCUUACCAAGGCAACGAUGCGUAGCCGACCUGAGAGGGUGAUCGGCCACACUGGAACUGAGACACGGUCCAGACUCCUACGGGAGGCAGCAGUAGGGAAUCUUCCGCAAUGGGCGAAAGCCUGACGGAGCAACGCCGCGUGAGUGAAGAAGGUCUUCGGAUCGUAAAACUCUGUUAUUAGGGAAGAACAAAUGUGUAAGUAACUAUGCACGUCUUGACGGUACCUAAUCAGAAAGCCACGGCUAACUACGUG
rnacentral:rRNA from 1 species